GAAGGGCUGUUGCUCAGUAGUAGAGCAUCUGCUUUGCAUGCAGAAGAUCCCAGGUUCAAUCCUGGGUAUCUUUA